rnacentral:rRNA from 1 species
AUUGAACGCUGGCGGCAGGCCUAACACAUGCGAGUCGAGCGGAUGAAGGGAGCUUGCUCCUGGAUUCAGCGGCGGACGGGUGAGUAAUGCCUAGGAAUCUGCCUGGUAGUGGGGGAUAACGUCCGGAAACGGGCGCUAAUACCGCAUACGUCCUGAGGGAGAAAGGGGGGGAUCUUCGGACCUCACGCUAUCAGAUGAGCCUAGGUCGGAUUAGCUAGUUGGUGGGGUAAAGGCCUACCAAGGCGACGAUCCGUAACUGGUCUGAGAGGAUGAUCAGUCACACUGGAACUGAGACACGGUCCAGACUCCUACGGGAGGCAGCAGUGGGGAAUAUUGGACAAUGGGCGAAAGCCUGAUCCAGCCAUGCCGCGUGUGUGAAGAAGGUCUUCGGAUUGUAAAGCACUUUAAGUUGGGAGGAAGGGCAGUAAGUUAAUACCUUGCUGUUUUGACGGUACCAACAGAAUAAGCACCGGCUAACUUCGUG